AUACUUACCUUAAGACGCCAGAGGAGAUCAAGAAGUCCUGCUGGUCAAAUAUGCUCCUUCACAAAGAGGAAUGCUAUGCAUUUAGGUCUCAAUGGCCCUAUCAUUGAUGUAAGCUUCCUCGUCAAUCGCACAUACAUGCGAAGGGUGUGUUUGCUGACGUUUCGUUCCCUCGCUGCUGGGUUUCUUGGUUCUCCAGGAAACUUGGGGGCCCUUUUUUUCUUCUGCCUGGAGAAGCACGGCACUGAGAACAAUCAGUGUUGGGGGAGCUGGAACGCUUCGGGUGAGUUUCGGCUAAUUGCCGCUCUUUAAGGCCUUGCCACGCUUUUCUAGCUGUUUAGCUGUUGAUUCCCUUGGGUUUCGGCCCUCCGAGAAGGUUGAACGGCUACUGACAGUUAGAAUGUGGUGAGUUUUUGAAGAGCAUGUCCUUUGGGCAGGCAUGUGCUGGAGCAUCCUCUCGCUAAAUUUAUUUAGUUGGGGGAGAAGCCCGCAGUGUUUUGGUAGAGACGGGUGGGUCUUAUAAUUUUUGAUUUACUC
rnacentral:snRNA from 1 species